rnacentral:lncRNA from 1 species
CAAAAAAUCACAAGCCACACGUGCAACAGUAACAACACACAUCUCUUCAAUCCAGACAGCUCUGAGUUUCAGUUCUUCACCUUGGGAGGUGGCCUGUACACACCGACAACCACGGCGUGGUCUCGCUCAUAAGGCUCUAGCGUCAGCUGCUCCUGCGGCUUCAUGUUCUCCUGCUGCAUCUUCUUCACUUCAGAUGCAAACACAGCCUCUGCUGACGCAGUGGAGUCAAUGCAGUUGGCCUUAAUGGAAAUCACAAAGUGUCCUCCAUUCCGCAGGAAGGUGUGGGCGUUCAGGGCCACAAUUCGGGUUUGGUCUGGCUGGGCCACAUCGGCAAAGAUGACAUCCACCAUUGCGAUAAGCAUGCGGUAUUUGUGUGGGUGUCGAGCAUCUUCAAUUACAGGAAUAAUGUUAGUCCUCUUCUUGGCCAAGUUGAUGAGGUCACGGCCAGAGCGGUGGGAGAACUCAACUGCGUAGACCAGACCAUCCGGGCCGACAAUAUCAGAGACGUGGGAGACGGUGGUGCCUGAGGCUGCCCCAAGACUCUCCAGGGACCAGAUUCUUUGUGACAAGAUCAUCCUCCUUUCCGAGACAGAUAAAGACACCUUCAUGCCGAUGCGGCUCCACCAUCACAUUCUUCCCUGACUGGUUUCCUCUCUUGCCUCCCCGGCCACCACCUCGACCCCGGUUGCCCCCAGACUGGAAGCCCCCACCUCGGCCACCGCCACCUCCUCGUCCCCUGAAGCCACCACCCCCUCCGCCUCGACCUCCACCGCCAAAGCCUCCUCGGCCUCCUCUUCCACCUCCUCUACCGCCUCUGUCACCAAAGCCGCCUCUGCCACCAAAGCCACCCCCACGGGGGCUGAAACCUGGCUUCAUUACUGCGUUCUGGUCGCACGACUCAGGCAACCUGCGGCGUCCCCGACUCCACGAGUCUCAGGCUUUCACUAGGAUGAGGUUCUUAAAGCCCAUGCCCACAGUGAUCCACCUACUCCAACAAGGCCACACCUCCUAAUAGUGCCACUUCCUGGGCCAAGCAUAUACAAACCACCACAGAUGGUCAGUGCCAGUUGUUACAUACAGUCUACUUCUGUUGUAUGACAAAAAUUUGACUGAGAAGUGCUAUGUUGUGUGUAGAAUAAGCAAGGCUAACAGUUCAGAGUUUGGUCAGUUUAUGAGGCGCCCACUUCUGAAGCUUUUUCACCUUUCUAAGUUGCUUCAAAUGCUGGAUGAGUUCUCUG